rnacentral:tRNA from 1 species
CAAAAAAUAAGUUAAAUAAAAACUAUAAAUUUUGGAGAUUUAAAUUGAAAACUUCUUUUUUGA